AUAAUACGUAUACAGUUGGAGUAUAAUCAUUUUACUUUUUUUGUUUCAGAAAUUAUGGUUACCGAAAUACCAUCCACAGAAAAAUCCUCUAACGUCAACAUUGGUGGUAUAGCAGGUGGUGCUAUCCUUUGCUUUGGUAUUCUGGUGUUACUUUUUGUGCUCGAAAUUUUUCUGAGACGAAGAACACUGAAGAAGCGAGCGGAAGAGAAGUUGGAAGCAGCGAAAAAAUCAUUAAACUGUGGCUAUGAGAUCCCCAGGAAGACAUUAGAGGAAACUUCUUACAAUAUAAUUGAAGAAACCACGUUCAGCCAUUCCAACAAGGAGCAAGAGAGUUCCAUCAACAGUGAUACCUCAGAGUGGGAAGACGAUUUUCAACUUGAUGAUCAAUCGACGGGUAGCAAAGACGAUGACAACCUUCCGCCCAAACAAAAUCAUUCAGACGGACCCAGUGUGUACCAAGAUAUCUCAGAAUUUCGCAAGCUACCGUCUAAUGGUCCAGAGCUUGCUUUACCGACAUUGCGAGAGAGUUGUCUGGAACAAAAUAUCUACCAGUCAAUCUCAGAACGAGAAACUCCCCAGUAUGGCAAUGUGGCCCAUCCUGAUAAAGCUUUUCCCAGGGGAAAUCUGAAAAUCAUCAAAGAGCUUGGCCGGGGAACCUUCAGUCGGGUGUUACUUGCUGAUGCAGAUGGUAUUGUUGACGGGGCGAAGGUCACGUUGGUCGCCGUCAAAACAGUCCAUGGGGAGGCGACUGAAGCUGACAAGGCGGCAAUGUUGAAGGAGCUGAAUGUGAUGAAAACUCUGCCAGAUCAUCCGAAUAUAAUUCAACUGCUCGGUUACUGCACAGAUCAAGACCCUCCCUACAUCAUCUUGGAGUUCUUAGCAAAGGGAAACCUAAAGGACUUCCUACACUACAGUCGAAGUCAGUGUGGAUUGAUGUAUGGUAAUUUGCGUGGCUUAAGCAAAUCACUGUCACCCAAACAUUUCCUGAAGUUUGCAAAGGAUGUUGCCGAUGGUAUGGAAUUCAUAGCCUCACAACAGUGUAUCCAUAGGGACCUGGCUGCCCGCAACGUACUUGUGGCAGACGACUUGACUUGUAAAGUGGCUGAUUUCGGACUCGCUCGGGACAUCAUGAACACCAGGCUGUAUGAGAGACGAUCAGCAGCGCCCGCCCGUAUCCUAAUAUGCACCACACGACCAUGAUCGCAGAGCUACAGAAAGGCUAUCGUAUGCCCAAACCACUACACUGCACGACCAAAUUGUAUCGCAUGAUGCUGAAAUGCUGGCGUAUGGGUCCCGAGAGACGUCCUACUUUUACUCAGAUCAGUGACAAGUUAAAGAAACUCCUACGAGA
rnacentral:misc_RNA from 1 species